GCAUCUGUUUCCGUAGAUUUUGGUUUCC
rnacentral:piRNA from 1 species